AAAUACUCUAUAAAGGAGAAAUUUUGAUAAUUUGAGGUAUUGGUUCAUUCAUUUACUGAGGUAAUCAGUGGUUUCUUAGCCCCUGAGUUCAGGCGUUGUGUUGAGCACCAGGCAUAUAAAGAUGAAAGGGGCACAGUCUAACACAGCACGACGCUUGCACUAUAGCUAGCUAUCGUGGAGGCAGAGACAAUGGGCUAAUACGUUAUGAAUGCUGUGCAUGGAGUUUGCCUGAGAGUGAGUUCAGAUUUUAUUUCGUCAGUGUUUGACAACCUAUGAAGAAGGGUGGGUGAGGGGAUCAUGAUUAUAUUAGAAAUGUUACUCUGGUGUCUUUGGUUUGGAUGAGCAAGAAUUUAGGGUGAUCAGGAGAGAGAAGAGGGAGGGGGAAGAAGUGGGGGAAAGACUGAGUGCCUAAUGCUGGACUAUGACCUUGGGGAUGAAGACGAGGGGCUGGACUUAGGAGAUAUGUUGGAGGUGGAAUGACAGGACUUGACCAAUUAUGUGGGGGGAGGCUCUGAUAACUCCAAGGGGCCUGUGUAGAUGCUGCCGCCAUUCACUGAGCUAGGGGAAGGGCAAGGUUGUGGAUGGGUGUCUAGUGAGUUCCAGUUUUGAAUCUGUUAUGAAUUGAGGCAUUUGGGAAUAUAUUAUCUUACUAGAUGGUGGUUGAUGUAUGGAUCUGGGACUUGGGAAAGGAACCUCCAUUAGACAUAAAUACAAGGAACUGUACGGUUGGUAUCUGUAGCCAUAGAUACAGAUUCAAUUGUCCAGAUAGAACACGUAGAAGAGGAAGAGAAAAGUCAAGCACCGAGCUCAGGGAGUCAUUAGUAUUAAGUGGAGGGUGGGUGGAAGAGAAGCCAGAGAGGACUGUUGGAGAAAGAGAGGAAGAGAGCGUGACGAGGACCAGAAGGGGAGAGUCUUGGGGACAUCAAAGUGAAAGUGAAAGGUCGCUCAGUCGUGUCUGACUCUUUGUGACCUCAUGCACUAUACAGUCCAUGGAAUUCUCCAGGCCAGAAUACUGGAGUGGGUAGCCUUUCCCUUCUCCAGGGGAUCAUCCCAACCCCAGGGUUGAACCCAGGUCUCCCACAUUGCAGGUGGAUUCUUUACCAGCUGAGCCACCAGGGACGCCCAAGAAUACUGGAGUGGGUAGCUGUUCCCUUCUCCAGGGGAUCUUCCUGACCCAGGAAUUGAACUGGGAUCUCCUGCAUUGCAGGCGGAUUCUUUACCAAUGGAGCUAUGAGGGAAGCCCUGGGGACAUCAGGAGGAAGACGUUUGAAGAAAGGCAAACUGGUUAGCAAAGGUGACAAAAGAAUCAAAUCAGAUUUCUAAGGAAAAAGGAGUCAGUUGCCACACACAGUGCACCAGGAGGAAAGAAAGGAUGAAGGGGUGAAUCUGAUCUAUUAAUUCCUCCUUCAGAUGCAAACAACUUUUGGUUCGUUCUUUUAAAAAAGCAAAGAAUAUGACUGUAUUUGGAAAGUCAGUUGACUGAGAAGAUGGCAGACUAAUGUCUAAAAAUCACCAUCCUGAAGAUCUGUUCUUUUAGAAAACUUCAAGAAUACAAUAUAGUAUUAAGCAUGAUCACGGUACUGUACAUUAGAUCCUCAGGAUUUGUUCAUUUUAUAAGUGAAAGUUUGUACCCUUUAGUUAAUGUCUUCCCAUUUGUCCUCCACCCCAGCCCCUGGUAACUACCAUGCUACUAUUUCUAUGAUUGAACAUUUUUUUUAAGAGUCCACAUAUAAGUGAUACCACUCAAUACUUUUCUUUCUCUGUCUUAUUUCACUUAGCAUAAUGCCCCCCAGCUUCAUUCUUGUUUUCAAAAAUGGUGGGAUUUCUUUCUUUUUUUUUUAAUGGCUGAAUACUAAUCCAUUGUAUGUAUGUCUCUAUCUGUCUAUCUAUCAUCAAUUACAUCUUUAUCCAUUCACUCAUUGAUGGACACUUAGGUUGUUUCCAUGUCUUUAGCUAUUGUCAAUAAUGCUGCAAUGAACAUGUGGGGUACAGAUAUGAGACUGAUUUCAUUUCCUUUGGGUAUACACCCAGAGAAAGGAAUGGCAAUCCACUCCAGUAUUCUUGCCUGGAGAAUCCCACGGAUAGGGGAGUCUGGCUGGCUACAGUCCAUGGAAUUGCAAAGAGUUGGACAUGACUGAGCGACUUACACAUACACCCAGAAGUGAGGUUGCUGGGUUAUAUGGUAUUGGGUUGGCCAAGAAUUUUGCUUGGGCUUUUCUGUAAGAUGUUGUAGAAAAACCAGAAUGAAUUGUUUGGCUAACCCAACAGUUCUAUUUUUAAUUUUCUCCCCCCCAUUUUUAGCUCUGUAUAUCCCUCUGCUUUCCUUUGUGUUUGGUGCCCGUGAGUCUGGAGCCUCUGUAGCUUGCUUCCUGCAGAGAACAAGGCUGUGGUGUCUGGCAAGAGCCAGGGUCAAGUCAACCCCUGUCUGGGCAGAAAAGGAGAAAAGACCUACUUGGAGAGAGAUGUCUUGUUUCCUUGUCUGCUCAGACAGGGACUGUGGAGGCAGACUUUCACAGCUACCUCCUGGGGGACUGUCCCUCCAAAUAUGACCCUGUCAGAGGUUCUAUGCAGCAAACUGGCAUAACUCUCCUUGGUACUGUGACUUCUGUAGACUCUCAGGUUGCAAAUUUUAUAGUUUCUCUUGCUUCACUAAGUCACAUAUCAUUCCUUCAACUCUAUCUUUUCAAAAUUAAUAUAAAUGCAUUGCAUGCUGAAAUCUCCCCAUUGUCUUUAUGGAUUAAGCUAUUGAAAAAAUACCCUUGCUGUAUUUUAUAUGGAUUUAAGUACGAAGAGGUGAUAAACUCAUGCUGUCAAUACUCCAUGUUUAACCAGAACUCUUUCUUGAAUUUGAACUGAUUUAGAAUCUAGCAGUGUUACAAUGCUGAUUUAGCUUUCUCUCAAGAGAGAAUUCUGAUUUCUUGAGGGACCACCACACUGCUUCCCAGAGUGGUUGUACUGCUUUAUAUUCCCAUCAGCAGUAUACAGGAUCCCCUUUUCUCUACAUCCUUGCUAAAAUUUAUCUCUUAUCUUUUUGAUACUAGCCAUCCUAACAGGUGUGAGAUGACAUCCCACUGUGACUCUUAAACAGAUCAACCACCAAAGGAUCAGGGGCUAGAGACACACUGCCAGCCUGGUGCAGUGAAGAUGGUUCUGGGCCCAGGCUUAUGAGACUAUUAGGUGGUAAUAAUAUCUGUGAUGUCUGUGGGUUUCUUCAGCAUCAAUGGGCCUCAGUUUCCUCAUCUAUAGAGUGGGGGUAGAUUGGAGAUGACAGUCCUGUAAGGCUUCUCCGAGCUUUACAGUUCUCAGAUUUUGCAGAGCACCUGGAGAUACUGACAUUGACGUUUGGAGACUCCUUUGAGGGUUCUUUCCAUGAUGUAGGCAGUGUGGAGUGCCAUAAGGAACAUGUGCCUUAGGAAAAUGAGCACAGCUAUCAUGCUUCAGAGCCUUAACCCAGCUUCUUUUUGCUUACUUUCCAUGUUUAGUUUGAAAGUGAGAUCCAUGGUCUUACAGUACUUCUUUGAUUCACUGCCAAUAUUUGCUGAAGCAAACCAAAGGGAGAGUUUAGGCUAGUGUACCAGUAAAGAGGGACAGAUGACAAAACAGUCCUUUCACUUCAUUUAGUGCAUUGAGAACCCCAUCUUUUCUUCAUGGUAGAGAGGGAUCUUCCAGGAUAUCUCCUCAGCUGUGCAGGGCUAAGGGCCUUGUCUCUCUGCCCACCCUUUUUGCUCCAUUUUCUGAGCUGUUGGGACGAGCAUGUAUCUCCUAGGAUAGCUCUGGGAUUAGCACAUCCUGGCCUGGACCCAUUUCCUCAGGAGGUGCUGGGGGGCCUAGACUCCAAGGUGCAAGCUGGACGGAACAUACCAGAUGGCCGGAUAAAGUCAUGUUGGCACUUGUUCCUGUGGCAAAGCUCUGGGGUGAUGGAUGGUGCACUAAACCGAUGAGCAUUACAUUAGAAACUUGGAAAGGUGUGUUCACUUACUGACGGCAAAUUCAGCGAUGAGUGGACACACCCAGCCACUUUUCAAGUGCUAUGGGGUUAGCAAAAGCACAAAGCCUGUUUUCCUCAGAAUCUUUUCCUCAUAAUUUUUAAACUUGUGUGCAUCUUAAUGGAAAUUUAAUCAUAUGUUUCAGAUUUAUCUACACUUAACUCAUCGAAACGUUGUUUUGUAAGAGGGAGUCAAGGUCCAGGAAGCUUUUUGAGUUUUUUUUUUUUUUAACAAGGACUUUUCUUUUUUCUUAUAAACAGGAAACCAUGUAUCACUGAGAGAAAACAAGCUUGAACCCCAAAAGAUUCAAGUUUGAUUUGAAACUCAGGAGUCAUGAACACCAGGAAUACUCUGAGGCAAAAUGGAUUUCUCCUGUUUUAUUCUUAGAAAUUCACAGGGAGACAGCUGAAGAUUUCAGCAGAACACCAUCUAUUUUCCUAAAGUUAGUGAAUAUCCUGCGAGGUAGCAUACAAAUUAGAAAUGUUAUAGCUUUUUUUUUUCUUUUUCACAUCACUUGCUUUUGACACAUUUAUCAAUACUUUUUUCCUGCAUAAAAAUUAGGUGAAGUAUAAACAUCACAUCAUAAGCAGAGAUUUCAUUUCAUAUCAAGUUUCUUAGGUAGCAUUAUAAUUAUUAUCAAACAAAAAAGCAAAUUUUGUGCAAACAAAAAUAACCAUUUACAAGAAAAACUGUGGCCUGAUUUUCUAAUUAUUUUGUCUGUAGUGGCUGUGUCUGUACAGGUAAAGUGGAUAGGUGAUUGGUUCAUUUGUAGAUGUCUGUAACAGACUUUUUUCCCCUCCUCAAAGAGUUGAAGUAGUUAUCACAAAGCAUCUAAAUAUUAAGGAAUUCAUUGUUUUGAU
ensembl:lncRNA